CGACUACCAACGCCUCCCUCGAUGACCCGCCGCCCUCGAUGACCCGGUGCACGCCGCCCUCGACGACCAGACGCCCUAGCCAAUCCUCCUUAGAGAGUCUCAAAGUACAGAGGACGCUCCUAUAGAGCCUAACCGCAUGACCAGAGACGAGUGGAUGAAAGUUGUCGACAUAGCUAACGGUUUCCAAUCAAAAAAGAAAGGAAGAGUGCAUCUGUCAAGUGCUUGAGUUAAGACACUCACCACCACCAAUAAGCUUAGCAACCAAUCUGUGACCUCGCGUGACAUGUGACACGUCAUACAUCAUGGGCUAGAGGAGAUACCACCGUAGGAAGUAGCAGUAUGAUACGAUAUUCUGAUGCAACCAUCACCGAUGAUAGGGAUCACGACGAUAGGGACCACGACUAUGAUGAGUGAGUGGUGAAUUAGACUUUUUUGUUACUUUUGUGGACUUUUGGAUUGUGUUGAACAUAUUAUGACCUCCGGAUUAUAUAUAUGUGUGAAUUGAUGAAUGAUAAAUGUUAAUAUUGUUGGAUAUUGUUGGAUGUGAAUCGAUGAAUAUAAAUGUGAAGAUUGUUAGA